rnacentral:tRNA from 1 species
GCCAGUGUGGUAUAAUGGUUUCAGUGCUGGACUAUGACCCUGGAGACCAGGGUCCAAUUCCCUGCUCAGACA